GACGAACGCUGGCGGCGUGCCUAAUACAUGCAAGUCGAACGCAGUGGGGACGGGUGAGUAACACGUGGGUAACCUCCCAUCAGAGGGGAUAACACUUGGAAACAGGUGCUAAACCGAUACUGAUGGAUGGACCCGCGGUGCAUUAGCUAGUUGGUGAGGUAACGGCUCACCAAGGCCACGAUGCAUAGACGGACUGGAUGGGUGAUCGGCCACACUGGUACAUAGAAAGCGCCCCGACUACUACGGGAAGCAGGAGUAGGGAAUCUUAGGCGAUGGACGAAAGUCUUAACCAGAAAGGCCGCGUGAGUGUAGAAAGGUUUCGGAUCGUAAAACUCUGUUGUUAGAGAAGCGGUAUCUAACCAGAAAGCCACGGCUAACUACGUGCCAGCAGCCGCGGUAAUUC
rnacentral:rRNA from 1 species